rnacentral:rRNA from 1 species
GACGUAGGGCGCGAGCGUUGUCCGGAAUUAUUGGGCGUAAAGAGCUCGUAGGCGGUUUUGUCGCGUCUGCUGUGAAAACCCGAGGCUCAACCUCGGGCCUGCAGUGGGUACGGGCAGACUAGAGUGCGGUAGGGGAGAUUGGAAUUCCUGGUGUAGCGGUGAAAUGCGCAGAUAUCAGGAGGAACACCGGUGGCGAAGGCGGGUCUCUGGGCCGGAACUGACGCUGAGGAGCGAAAGCGUGGGGAGCGAACAGG